rnacentral:rRNA from 1 species
GAUGAACGCUGGCGGCGUGCUUAACACAUGCAAGUCGAACGAAGCACUUUUAUUUGAUUUCUUCGGAAUGAAGAUUCUAGUGACUGAGUGGCGGACGGGUGAGUAAAGCGUGGGUAACCUGCCUCAUACAGGGGGCUAACAGUUAGAAAUGACUGCUAAUACCGCAUAAGACCACAGUACCGCAUGGUACAGGGGUAAAAAGUCAGGUGGUAUGAGAUGGACCCGCGGCUGAUUAGGUAGUUGGUGGGGUAACGGCCUACCAAGCAGACGAUCAGUAGCCGACCUGAGAGGGGGAACGGCCACAUUGGGACUGAGACACGGCCCAAACUCCUACGGGAGGCAGCAGUAGGGAAUAUUGCACAAUGGGGGAAACCCUGAUGCAGCGACGCCGCGUGAGCGAUGAAGUAUUUCGGUAUGUAAAGCUCUAUCAGCAGGGAAGAAAAUGACGGUACCUGACUAAGAAGCACCGGCUAAAUACGUGCCAGCCGCCGCAGUAA